CCUACGGGAGGCUGCAGUGAGGAAUAUUGGUCAAUGGACGAGAGUCUGAACCAGCCAAGUAGCGUGAAGGAUGACUGCCCUAUGGGUUGUAAACUUCUUUUAUAAAGGAAUAAAACGAGGCACGUGUGCCUUUUUGCAUGUACUUUAUGAAUAAGGAUCGGCUAACUCCGUGCCAGCAGCCGCGGUAAUACGGAGGAUCCGAGCGUUAUCCGGAUUUAUUGGGUUUAAAGGGUGCGCAGGCGGCCUGUUAAGUCAGCGGUAAAAGCCCGGGGCUCAACCCCGGCGAGCCGUUGAAACUGGCGGUCUGGAGUGGGAGAGAAGUACGCGGAAGGCGCGGUGUAGCGGUGAAAUGCUUAGAUAUCGCGCAGAACCCCGAUUGCGAAGGCAGCGUACCGGCUCCACACUGACGCUGAGGCACGAAAGCGUGGGUAUCGAACAGGAUUAGAUACCCGUGUAGUC
rnacentral:rRNA from 1 species